rnacentral:rRNA from 1 species
GGAUUGCCCUAGUAACGGCGAGUGAAGCGGCAACAGCUCAAAUUUGAAAUCUGGCUCUUUUAGAGUCCGAGUUGUAAUUUGCAGAGGGCGCUUUGGCUUUGGCAGCGGUCCAAGUUCCUUGGAACAGGACGUCACAGAGGGUGAGAAUCCCGUACGUGGUCGCUAGCUAUUGCCGUGUAAAGCCCCUUCGACGAGUCGAGUUGUUUGGGAAUGCAGCUCUAAAUGGGAGGUAAAUUUCUUCUAAAGCUAAAUAUUGGCCAGAGACCGAUAGCGCACAAGUAGAGUGAUCGAAAGAUGAAAAGCACUUUGGAAAGAGAGUCAAACAGCACGUGAAAUUGUUGAAAGGGAAGCGCUUGCAGCCAGACUUGCUUGCAGUUGCUCAUCCGGGCUUUUGCCCGGUGCACUCUUCUGCAGGCAGGCCAGCAUCAGUUUGGGCGGUGGGAUAAAGGUCUCUGUCACGUUCCUUCCUUCGGGUUGGCCAUAUAGGGGAGACGUCAUACCACCAGCCUGGACUGAGGUCCGCGCAUCUGCUAGGAUGCUGGCGUAAUGGCUGUAAGCGGCCCGUCUUGAAACACGGACCAAGGAGUCUAACAUCUAUGCGAGUGUUUGGGUGUCAAGCCCGAGCGCGUAAUGAAAGUGAACGGAGGUGGGAACCCGCAAGGGUGCACCAUCGACCGAUCCUGAAGUUUACGGAAGGAUUUGAGUAAGAGCAUGGCUGUUGGGACCCGAAAGAUGGUGAACUAUGCUUGAAUAGGGUGAAGCCAGAGGAAACUCUGGUGGAGGCUCGCAGCGGUUCUGACGUGCAAAUCGAUCGUCAAAUUUGGGCAUAGGGGCGAAAGACUAAUCGAA